ACUCCUACGGGAGGCAGCAGUGGGGAAUAUUGCACAAUGGGCGCAAGCCUGAUGCAGCCAUGCCGCGUGUAUGAAGAAGGCCUUCGGGUUGUAAAGUACUUUCAGCAGUGAGGAAGGUGGAUAUGUUAAUAGCAUAUUCAUUUGACGUUAGCUGCAGAAGAAGCACCGGCUAACUCCGUGCCAGCAGCCGCGGUAAUACGGAGGGUGCGAGCGUUAAUCGGAAUUACUGGGCGUAAAGCGCAUGCAGGUGGUUUGUUAAGUCAGAUGUGAAAGCCCGGGCUCAACCUCGGAAUUGCAUUUGAAACUGGCAAACUAGAGUACUGUAGAGGGGGUAGAAUUUCAGGUGUAGCGGUGAAAUGCGUAGAGAUCUGAAGGAAUACCGGUGGCGAACGGCGGCCCCCGUGGACAGAUACUGACACUCAGAUGCGAAAGCGUGGGAGCG
rnacentral:rRNA from 1 species